GGAUAAAAGAUAAAGGCGAAGGAGGGUCUAAGGGGUGCAGGGUACAGGCUGUACCACCCUCCUCGUGUCUUGACCCCCGUCCCCCGCCUGGGGUCAGCCAGCAGCUGUCCCGAACAGUUCCUACACCGCUCCUCCCACUAAGUUGGGACCCUGGACCUUCAAGAAGGCUGUGCGUUUUCCGAUGAGAUCACUGUCCACUCACUGACUGUGUCCACUGGGGGGACUUGAGCCCUGGGACCUCAUGGAUCGAAGAGCGGGACAGAAAGGAGAUCCUGGUAAGGAAUACUGAACUAAUAAGCCACCACCAACCGGAAGAGUUCGGGAAAGGUCAAAAGGAGACACCGCGAGUCCGUCCACUUCCCAGAAUCCCUCUGGCUAGCAUCCAUCUUGGCUGAAUGAUGCGUGUGCCACCAGGAAAGACUCUGAAUUACAACAAUUGGUCAAAGACAACCCGGAAACUAAUCCCAUCACCAUAAAACCCGAGACUGUGAGUCACAUGGCAGAGCAGUUCUCCUGAGUUCCCUUACCCUACUGCUCUCAAUACAAUCUCUUGCUAUGUCAGCACAUGUGUCUCCUUGGACAAUUCAUUUCCGAGUGUUAGACAAGAGCCCAGUUUCGGGCCCUGGAAGGGGUCCCCCUUCCUGCAACAUAUUGACCCCCUUUCUCCCUCCUCACUCCCACUUCCAAGGUAGCCACUGUUCAUGGCCAAGGAGGUACAGCUGGAUCAAUCGGCAUUCAUGUGUUUUAAUGUGCUUGGUGUAGAAAUGAGAUCAGGAUAGUAUAAGACCUACUGGGCAGUGACUGGUCCCCAAAAGCCAAGCAGCUCUGAGCGUUUUGCAUGCAGUAACUCAUUUGUUCCUGUAGACUUAAAAAAUAGUGACAACAUAAAGUUUGACAG
ensembl:lncRNA